rnacentral:lncRNA from 1 species
AUGAACCGACCAAAAGGGAACUCAGCAGACAGGAGGCAAUGCUGGAUGUCAUCAGCCAGCAAGCGGGAUGGUUUUGAGGGCUCUCGCCUAGUGGUGUUCCGGGGGACCAGGGGAGGUCGCUCCGGAGCAAGCGGUCGAGAGGAGGAGCCACAGAGGUCCCCUCCACCUACCCACCUGCCAAUGAUUCCAGAGGGUCGUGUCCUGGCCGUGGCAACCCUGGGGGAUCAGGCAAGUCCCCCCCAGAGCCCUGAGGCGCCUUCCACAGCCUGCAGUCUCCCCAUGAAGCGAGGGAGACGAUUGUCGUGGGAGUCGGCGUCAGAGUCUGCCCUGCCCGAGACCGAACUUCCCCAACCCGUCUCUGUCCCAGCGGUGACCUCUGCACCGCGGCCUAGAAGGAAGAGGAGGAAGAAGGGGUCUCCCGGUCCUGCGACUCUGUCGCCUCCAGCAGCGGUGAGCGUACCCGUGCCAGCAGCGGUGAGAGCUGGCGUGCCCGUGCCAGCAGCGGUGAGCGCUGGCGUGCCCGAGCCAGCAGCGGUGAGCGUGCCCGAGCCAGCAGCGGAGAGCGCUGGCGUGCCCGAGCCAGCAGCGGUGAGCGUGCUCGAGCCAGCAGCGGUGAGCGUGCCCGAGCCAGCAGCGGUGAGCGUGCCCGAGCCAGCAGCGGUGAGCGUGCCCGAGCCAGCAGCGGUGAGCGCUGGCGUGCCCGAGCCGGCAAAGAAGAGAGCUGUAUACAAGUCUGCAGUCGUGAGAGCGGAGGAGAGUGCCGCGGCCGACUCUGCAGCAAAGACUCUAGUACAGUCUGUCUCAUCUCGUAAGGAGAUGCCAAUUAUCCUAGCUGCUAAAGCCUUUUCAGAUUAUUUGUCUAGUCUUGUCCGGAUCCUAGAAGUCCCCGUCAGUCCUGUCUUGUCCCCAGACCCUGUCCCCAGAAAUCCGGAGUGUCCUGCCGUUGUCUCCCCGUGUCCCGUAGAUGUCGUCUCCCCGUGUCCCGUGAGUGUUGCCCCGUGUCCUGCUGAUGUAGUCAUGUGUCCUGUUGGUGUGGCCCCGUGUCCCGUUAAUGUUGCCCCGUGUCCCGUAGGUGUCCCGUGUCCUGUUGUCCCCCCGUGUCCAGUAGAUGUUGUCCCCCCGUGUCCAGUAGAUGUUGCCCCGUGUCCAGUAGAUGUUGUCCCCCCGUGUCCAGCUGUCGUCUCCCCGCGUCCCGUAAGUCUUGCCCCGCGUCCCGUAAGUGUUGCCCCGCGUCCCUUGUCUGCUCCUGUCAUGUCCCCUGUCAGUUGUCCCGAGACCCCUCCCCGCCCCUCACCACCCAGACCUGCCCGUACCCCCCGUCGUCAGCCUUCGUCCUGUCCUCCUAAGAUUCCUACCCCACCCACCCGCCCUGGUCUGUCCCCCAUGAACUUUGUGGUCCCGCCCCCUCCCCUUCCCUGUUUGUUUUUUUUUAUUUGUCACCCUAACCCUGCCGUUGUGUACUCAUGUUUGCCUUUGUUGUUAUUUGUCAUGUCUUGUUGGUUUGUGUCUCUGUCCCAGUCAGUCAUGUCCCGUGUUUGA